AUUGAACGCUGGCGGCAGGCCUAACACAUGCAAGUCGAACGAGUGGCGGACGGGCGAGCAAGGUCUGGGAAACUGCCUGACGGAGCGGUCUAACUACUGGAAACCGUAGCUAAUACUGCAUACUAUCCGUUGUGCCGAGACGGGUUUAGCUAGUUGGUGGGGUAACGGCUCUUCAAGGCGACGAUGCCUAGCCGGUCUGAGAGGGUGACCAGCCACACUGGGACUGAGACACGGUCCAGACUCCUACGGGAGGCAGCAGUAGGGAAUAUUGGACAAUGGGCGCAAGCCUGAUGCAGCCAUGCCGCGUGUAUGAAGAAGGCCUUCGGGUUGUAAAGUACUUUCGGCGGGGAGGCGUUACCCGCAGAGGAAGCACCGGCUAACUCCGUGCCAGCAGCCGCGGUAAUUC
rnacentral:rRNA from 1 species